GGUGCGGCUACCUCGUCUGGCACCUGGUGAAACUCUUCACCUGCUCUCAAUCACCUCAUCAGCAACCUACUUAAGAAUCCAGCUUUGCAGCCACUCAGCGCCAGAUUGUUCAGCCAGCUAUAUGGAUUCCAGCGCCUUCCCCUCGGCAUCUGCCAUCUACAACUUCACUCCAGCUCAUUCCUCCAUCCGUUCACCCAGCUCAUCUGCCUGCCUGUCCCCUGCCGCCAUCAGCACCCCUCAUCCCUUCCCCCGGUUCCUCAAUAAAUCUCCCUAACCUUCUACAAACUA